UGGCUGGGCUGCAUGAUGGGAGUUGUAGUGACUGUAUGGCUGGGCUGCAUGAUGGGAGUUGUAGUAUUUCCCUAUGAUUGGCAGGGCUGCAUGAUGGGAGUUGUAGUAUAUGCCUGUGAUUGGCAGGGCUGCAUGAUGGGACUUGUAGUAGCUGUGUAUGGCUGGGCUGCAUGAUGGGAGUUGUAGUGACUGUGUAUGGCUGGGCUGCAUGAUGGGAGUUGUAGUAUUUGCCUGUGAUUGACUGGGCUGCAUGAUGGGGGUUGUAGUAUUUGCCUGUGAUUGGCUGGGCUGCAUGAUGGGAGUUGUAUUUGCCUGUGAUUGGCUGGGCUGUAUGAUGGGAGUUGUAGAAGCUGUGUAUGGCUGGGCUGCAUGAUGGGACUUGUAGUGAC